CAGAGUGCUGGCGUAACUCGCCGAGUCCGACCGCAUCUCUGGAGAACAAUCUGGUGACGUUUCCAGUUGGGAUCCUUCUACAGAUUUCAGGGAAUCUGAAGUCUUCUGUUUGAAAUUUUUCCAGUUCUCUCUCUUGCCCUCGAAGCUCAGCUGUUCAAAUCCAAAGAUGAAUUGCCUUGUGGUCCUGGUAGCUGGUCUCAUUCUCAGUGCCUCUCCAGGUAACUCUUUGCGGUGUUACUCCUGCUUAGGAUCAACGGAAAGAUGCGUGACUAAUACUAUUAACUGCUCUGCGGGGGAGCGAUGUGUCCUUGUGGUUGCAGAGGCUGCUUAUGUAAAGGUUUACGGAGCUGGAUGUGUUCGCCCUGCUAAUU